AGGAGGAACAGCCCCAGUGGCGGGGCAGCUCUGGAGCCCUGGAUUCAGCUCCGGCAGGAACUCCGUCUGCAGGGCCUGGAGGCUCCGGGCCGGG
rnacentral:pre_miRNA from 1 species